UACGAAGGGGGCUAGCGUUGCUCGGAAUCACUGGGCGUAAAGCGCACGUAGGCGGCUUGCUAAGUCAGGGGUGAAAUCCUGGAGCUUAACUCCAGAACUGCCUUUGAUACUGGCGAUCUCGAGUCCGGGAGAGGUGAGUGGAACUGCGAGUGUAGAGGUGAAAUUCGUAGAUAUUCGCAAGAACACCAGUGGCGAAGGCGGCUCACUGGCCCGGUACUGACGCUGAGGUGCGAAAGCGUGGGGAGCAAACAGG
rnacentral:rRNA from 1 species